rnacentral:rRNA from 1 species
AAGAAAGUAAAUAAGAGCGUAUGGCGAAUGCCUUGGCUCUCAGAGGCGAUGAAGGACGUGACAGGCUGCGAUAAGUUCCGGUUAGGUGCCUAUAACCGUUUAACCCGGAAAUUUCCGAAUGGGGAAACCCACCUGGAUGAAGACCAGGUAUCCGCUUCGGCGGAAGCAAACCCGGAGAACUGAAACAUCUAAGUACCCGGUGGAAAAGAAAACAAUAGUGAUUCCCUGAGUAGUGGCGAUCGAAAGGGGAACAGCCUAAACCACAAUAGUUUCGGCUUUUGUGGGGUUGUAGGACUGCGACGUGGAUUCUAAUAAGGAAAUAGAAAUUCCUGGAAAGUUAUACCAUAGAAGGUGAAAGUCCUGUAUAUGUAACUUAUUAUUAUCCUAGCAGUAUCCUGAGUAGUGCGGGACACGAGAAAUCCUGUAUGAAUCUGCCAGGACCAUCUGGUAAGGCUAAAUACUCCUGAGAGACCGAUAGUGAACCAGUACCGUGAGGGAAAGGUGAAAAGCACCCUGAACAAGGGAGUGAAAUAGUACCUGAAACCAUACGCUUACAAACGGUCGGAGUCCCGAAAAAUUUCGGGAUGACGGCGUGCCUUUUGCAUAAUGAGCCUACGAGUUACUCCUCACUAGCAAGGUUAAGUCCUUAAGGGAUGAAGCCGAAGCGAAAGCAAGUCUGAAUAGGGCGUCUAGUUAGUGGGGGUAGACGCGAAACUUGGUGAUCUACCCAUGGCCAGGUUGAAGUACCGGUAAAACGGUAUGGAGGACCGAACCAGUAUACGUUGAAAAGUGUUUGGAUGAGUUGUGGGUAGGGGUGAAAGGCCAAUCAAACCAAGAAAUAGCUCGUACUCCCCGAAAUGCAUUUAGGUGCAGCCUCGUGUAAAGUCUCAUAGAGGUAGAGCUACUGAUAAGGCUAGAGGGCUUCACCGCCUAUCAACCCUUGACAAACUCCGAAUGCUAUGAGAUGUUUCACGGGAGUGAGGCGUUGGGUGCUAAGGUCCGGCGCCGAGAGGGAAACAACCCAGACCAUCAGCUAAGGUCCCUAAAUGUAUACUAAGUUGUUCUAACGUGGUGCGACUGCCUUGACAGCUAGGAUGUUGGCUUGGAAGCAGCCAUUCAUUUAAAGAGUGCGUAACAGCUCACUAGUCGAGCGGUUGUGCGUGGAUGAUAAUCGGGCAUUAAGUAUACUACCGAAGCUAUGGACUCACCUUCGGGUGAGUGGUAGGGGAGCAUUCCAGUUGCAUCGAAGAUAGAUCGUAAGAUCUGUUGGAGCGGCUGGAAAAGAAAAUGUAGGCAUAAGUAACGAUAAAGCGGGUGAGAAACCCGCUCACCGAUAGACUAAGGUUUCCUGAUCAACGCUAAUCGGAUCAGGGUUAGUCGGGUCCUAAGAUGUAUUCGAACGGAAAAGUCGAUGGACAACAGGUUAAUAUUCCUGUACUAGCAUAAAUUGCGAUGGGGUGACGAAGGAGUGAAAGGUCCGCGUACUGACGGAAUAGUACGUUAAAGGGUGUAGGUAUAUGGUCGGGUUAAUAGCUUGAUCAUGCUGAACCUGAUAGUACCGUGAGUCUUCGGACAAGCGGAUAGUGACUCUAAACAUACUUCCAAGAAAAACCUCUAAGCUUCAGAUUUAUGCUACCCGUACCGCAAACCGACACAGGUAGUCAAGGAGAGAAUCCUAAGGUGCUCGAGUGAUUCAUGGCUAAGGAACUAGGCAAAAUCGACCUGUAACUUCGGGAGAAAGGUCGCCCUGAGCAAUCAGGGCCGCAGUGAAAUGACCCAGGCGACUGUUUAUCAAAAACACAAGGCUUUGCUAAAUCGUAAGAUGAUGUAUAAGGCCUGACACCUGCCCGGUGCUGGAAGGUUAAGGGGGGGAGUUAUCUUCGGAGACGCUCUGAACCGAAGCCCCAGUAAACGGCGGCCGUAACUAUAACGGUCCUAAGGUAGCGAAAUUCCUUGUCGGGUAAGUUCCGACCUGCACGAAUGGUGUAACGAUCUGGGUACUGUCUCAGCCAUGAGCUCGGUGAAAUUGUAGUUCCGGUGAAGAUGCCGGAUACCCGCAACGGGACGGAAAGACCCCGUGAACCUUUACUGCAGCUUAACAUUGAUUUUGGAUAAGUGAUGUGUAGGAUAGGUGGGAGACUUUGAAGCGGCUUCGUUAGGAGUCGUGGAGUCAACCUUGAAAUACCACCCUUUAUUUAUCUGGGAUCUAAUCCCUAACGGGAGACAGUGUUUGGUGGGUAGUUUGACUGGGGUGGUCGCCUCCAAAAGCGUAACGGAGGCUUUCAAAGGUACCCUCAGCAUGAAUGGUAACCAUGCGUAGAGCGCAAUGGCAUAAGGGUGCUUGACUGUGAGACUGACUAGUCGAUCAGGUACGAAAGUAGGACAUAGUGAUCCGGUGGUUCCGUAUGGAAGGGCCAUCGCUCAAAGGAUAAAAGGUACUCCGGGGAUAACAGGCUGAUCGCUCCCAAGAGCUCAUAUCGACGGAGCGGUUUGGCACCUCGAUGUCGGCUCGUCACAUCCUGGGGCUGAAGAAGGUCCCAAGGGUUGGGCUGUUCGCCCAUUAAAGUGGCACGCGAGCUGGGUUCAGAACGUCGUGAGACAGUUCGGUCCCUAUCUGUUGUGGGCGUUGGAGAUUUGAGAGGACCUGCCUCUAGUACGAGAGGACCGAGGCGGACAGACCUCUAGUGUACCUGUUGUGGCGCCAGCUGCAUCGCAGGGUAGCUACGUCUGGAAGAGAUAAGCACUGAAAGCAUCUAAGUGCGAAGCUCACCUCAAGAUGAGAUCUCCUUUAAGGGUCGUUAUAGACGAUGACGUUGAUAGGUCGCAAGUGUAAAGGCAGUAAUGUCAAAGCUGAGCGAUACUAAUUACCCGUAAGCUUUCUCUG